CACUGCCGAGAAAAGCCUCUAGAUAGAAAAUAGGUGCCCGUACCGCAAACCGACACAGGUAGUCAAGAUGAGAAUUCUAAGGUGAGCGAGCGAACUCUCGUUAAGGAACUCGGCAAAAUGACCCCGUAACUUCGGGAGAAGGGGUGCUCUUUAGGGUUAACGCCCAGAAGAGCCGCAGUGAAUAGGCCCAAGCGACUGUUUAUCAAAAACACAGGUCUCUGCUAAACCGUAAGGUGAUGUAUAGGGGCUGACGCCUGCCCGGUGCUGGAAGGUUAAGAGGAGUGGUUAGCUUCUGCGAAGCUACGAAUCGAAGCCCCAGUAAACGGCGGCCGUAACUAUAACGGUCCUAAGGUAGCGAAAUUCCUUGUCGGGUAAGUUCCGACCCGCACGAAAGGCGUAACGAUUUGGGCACUGUCUCAACGAGAGACUCGGUGAAAUCAUAGUACCUGUGAAGAUGCAGGUUACCCGCGACAGGACGGAAAGACCCCGUGGAGCUUUACUGUAGCCUGAUAUUGAAAUUCGGCACAGCUUGUACAGGAUAGGUAGGAGCCUUUGAAACGUGAGCGCUAGCUUACGUGGAGGCGCUGGUGGGAUACUACC
rnacentral:rRNA from 1 species